AGUGAACGCUGGCGGUAGGCCUAACACAUGCAAGUCGAACGGCAGCACAGGAGAGCUUGCUCUCUGGGUGGCGAGUGGCGGACGGGUGAGGAAUACAUCGGAAUCUGCCCAGUCAUGGGGGAUAACGUAGGGAAACUUACGCUAAUACCGCAUACGACCUUCGGGUGAAAGAGGGGGAUCGCAAGACCUCUCGCGAUUGGAUGAGCCGAUGUCGGAUUAGCUAGUUGGCGGGGUAAUGGCCCACCAAGGCGACGAUCCGUAGCUGGUCUGAGAGGAUGAUCAGCCACACUGGAACUGAGACACGGUCCAGACUCCUACGGGAGGCAGCAGUGGGGAAUAUUGGACAAUGGGCGCAAGCCUGAUCCAGCCAUACCGCGUGGGUGAAGAAGGCCUUCGGGUUGUAAAGCCCUUUUGUUGGGAAAGAAAUCUUUCAGGCUAAUACCCUGGGAGGAUGACGGUACCCAAAGAAUAAGCACCGGCUAACUUCGUG
rnacentral:rRNA from 1 species